rnacentral:rRNA from 1 species
AACGAACGCUGGCGGCAUGCCUAACACAUGCAAGUCGAACGAGACCUUCGGGUCUAGUGGCGCACGGGUGCGUAACGCGUGGGAACCUGCCCUUAGGCUCGGAAUAACUCCCCGAAAGGGGUGCUAAUACCGGAUAAUGUCUUCGGACCAAAGAUUUAUCGCCUUUGGAUGGGCCCGCGUUGGUUUAGCCAGUUGGUAGGGUAAAAGCCUACCAAGGCGACGCUCCAUAGCUGGUCUGAGAGGAUGAUCAGCCACACUGGGACUGAGACACGGCCCAGACUCCUACGGGAGGCAGGAGUGGGGAAUAUUGGACAAUGGGCGAAAGCCUGAUCCAGCAAUGCCGCGUGAGUGAUGAAGGCCUUAGGGUUGUAAAGCUCUUUUACCCGGGAUGAUAAUGACAGUACCGGGAGAAUAAGCACCGGCUAACUCCGUG